GGUCCUUUGACUUGAGGUCGUCAUGGUACCUUAUAUGAGGACAGUCAUACUUUGGCGGUGUUGGAUGUUGCUCUGAAAAGGGCCGCUAAUACGACAUCGUUCGGGUACGUCAAGAAUCGUAUGAAGGUUGUGAUUGAUCAAUAAAGGAUUCGUCACUCUUAGAUAGUAGGAGAUUAUGAUCUGCGUUUCAUUCAAUUAAGUCAAUGAUCAAAUCCUUGACCAAGGUGUACUCAUAAAUCGAAAAGGAGUUUUCGAUUUAUAUUGACUUAAUAGUGGAGUGAAAGAUAUGAUCGAUGAUCGAGAUUGACACAAUUCCAUAUCUCGUAAUUGAUCGGAUCAUAUUGACGAAGGGAUUAUAGUUUCAC
rnacentral:lncRNA from 1 species